UACAGAGGGUGCGAGCGUUAAUCGGAAUUACUGGGCGUAAAGCGUGCGUAGGCGGUUUCGUAAGUCGGGUGUGAAAUCCCCGGGCUCAACCUGGGAAUUGCAUUCGAAACUGCGAGGCUAGGGUACGGAAGAGGGAAGCGGAAUUUCUGGUGUAGCGGUGAAAUGCGUAGAUAUCAGAAGGAACAUCAGUGGCGAAGGCGCCACUCUGGGCCGAAACUGACGCUGAGGAGCGAAAGCGUGGGUAGCAAACAGG
rnacentral:rRNA from 1 species